UGUACACGCUGUGACUAGCAUAUCAAUAAGCGGAGGAAAAGAAACUAACAAGGAUUCCCCUAGUAACGGCGAGUGAAGCGGGAAGAGCUCAAAUUUGAAAUCUUAAAGGGUUUCCCUUUACGAAUUGUAGUUUAAAGAAGUGUUUUCUGUUGAGGUUUUGGUAAAAGUUCUUUGGAAUAGGACAUCAUAGAGGGUGAGAAUCCCGUAUUUGACCUUUACUUUCAACUUUGUGAUACACUUUCAAAGAGUCGGAUUGUUUGGGAAUGCAGUCCAAAAUGGGUGGUAAAUUUCAUCUAAAGCUAAAUAUUGGCGAGAGACCGAUAGCGAACAAGUACCGUGAGGGAAAGAUGAAAAGAACUUUGAAAAGAGAGUUAAACAGUACGUGAAAUUGUCAAAAGGGAAGCGUUUGACACCAGUGUUGUUUUUCUGAAAAUCAAUUAAAGAACUGUUUAUGCUAAGUUGUUUAGACUUUAUCAGCUAACUGUUUAGUUUUGAGCUUUUCUUUAAUGCACUUUUCAGUUAACAAGUCAACAUCAAUUUCUUUUGCUGUAAAAAAGCUUGAGGAAGGUGGCUUGAGAUUCGUCUUAAGUGUUUAUAGCCUCUUGCCUAUGCAGUCGGAGAGAUUGAGGUCUGCAGCGUAGGUCCUUCGGGGCUAAAUGCAUUUGUGCUAAGUUAUAGCAUUUUAUAGACAACUUGUUGACUAUGAUUUGUCUUGUAGCUUACUCGCUUAUGUUAUUUUACCUACGCUUAGGAUGUUGACAGCAGUAUAGACUGU
rnacentral:rRNA from 1 species